GAAUCGGCAAGACCCUUAUUGCUUCGGGAACCGUGAGACAGGUGCUGCAUGUCUGUCGUCAGCUCGUGUUGUGAAAUGUUGGGUUAAGUCCCGCAACGAGCGCAAACCUUAUUCUUUGGUNGCCAGCGGUCCGGCCGGGAACUCAAAGGAGACUGCCAGUGAUAAACUGGAGGAAGGUGGGGAUGACGUCAAGUCAUCAUGGCCCUUACGACCAGGGCUACACACGUGCUACAAUGGCGCAUACAAAGAGAAGCGACCUCGCGAGAGCAAGCGGACCUCAUAAAGUGCGUCGUAUCCGGAUUGGAGUCUGCAACUCGACUCCAUGAAGUCGGAAUCGCUAGUAAUCGUGGAUCAGAAUGCCACGGUGAAUACGUUCCCGGGUCUUGUACA
rnacentral:rRNA from 1 species